AUAUGAUUUAAAUAUUACAUAAGUCUCUUAAAUUUGAUGAAACUUAGGCAAAUUGUCUCUUAGUUAAGAGAUAAUUGGUCUUGGUUUCACCAAAUUUAAGAGACCUAUAAUUAAAAAUAUUAUUUAUCUAUACUUACACUUUAAUUUUGUUUAAGAGACUUAGGCUUAGAGACUACCAUUGAGGAUGCUCUUAAACAACCAUUUUUAACAUCUGGAUGUACUAGUUGUUUGUAAUACUGUUCUUUCCUUAUAAGAAAUAAAGAAUACACCAUUUGAAACCUGAAAGAUGGCCAAGCU
rnacentral:sRNA from 1 species